AUGCAUCAGAGAAUUCUUGUCUUGACCCUCCUUACUUCUUUAGGACAUGGCAUUGAAGACCGUGUUUGGCAGUCUGAAAGUACAGUUCAGGUUCUUCAAAAACAAGAGGCUGAAAUCAAGUGCAACUUUGAAGCAAGAGAUACUGCUAACGCUUACCUCUUCUGGUAUAUUCAGACUCCAAACGGCGCUCCUCGGCAUUUAAUGACAAGGACACCUACUUACAGCGUCAAUGAAGAAGGUUUUAAAGAAAGAUUUAAUGCAACACUCAACCGGGAGAACAAAACAGUCCACCUGAAAAUUUCAUCUUCUAAGCUGUCCGACUCUGCAAAUUAUUUCUGCGCAUUGCAGCCCACAGUAAGAGAAAGGAAGCGGAGAACAUUACACAAACUGAUGUGACAGAAAAACUUAAAAAAACUUAGAAAUAACAACUUUGUAAGUCCAAAUUUUAACCCGACAUUUAAAACACUUUUGUGCACAAAUUAUAUUGAUGUUUCAUUGUACUGAAGUAUUGAGCUUUAUUUACAAACAAGAAUGCUAUUGAACUUCAUUUACAAAUAAGAAUUGCUUUGCUGGAAAAAUGUUGAAAAAGGAUAUUCAAUUUUAAAAAUAUUUUAUUGUUAUAAAAUAGCUCACAGAUGAAUUGUUAAAAUAUUACUAUUACAAUGGGAAGGGUAAUUGUUGGAAAGCCCUGUUCUUUGGGUGGGAUGACUCCAGGCACACUAGACCUUUGCAAAAGUAGGUUUUUUGGACUUGUAAAAAAACUUGUCUGACAGGAAGAGACCCAAAACUUGCAGAGUGUCAAGUUUGUGAAUUUGUCCCCUUGGCUUCAGUAGGCCAAGAUGUUCAACAUACACUAGAAUGGUUUGCAACUGAAUGUGAUGUGGGAUGGAAAUUUGUGCCUCCAAACUUGAAAAUUUUCCAGAAAAAUGUGGCCUGCAGUUUUUUGCAAGUUAAUGAAUAAGUAAUAUUUUUUGAAGAAAAGAAAAAUGGUAGUCCUAAAACCUACUGCAUAUGUCCACUUUUAAGCAGCACGGGUUUCUGGUUUCAGAAGUCAUGCCUUCUGCAUUUCAGAAGUAAAUGAUGAUCUAAUGAUGGAAAAACAUUGAUGGACGUAAUGCAUUUAUAUCACUAAUUCUUAGAACUAUUUUUUCAGAGGGAUGGCAGGUGUUCUCUAUUUACAGAGACUGACAUAGCUGAGGUUUUCCAUGUAAACUACGGUUGAAUAAUGGAUACUCAGAGUAGAAUAUUAUGCAGUAUAAAUGUGUUUAAGAAUAACAUUGUUUUUCAACUAAAAUUGUUCAAAGGAUUGAAUAUGAAGGAUGUCUAUAGUUUACAUUGUCUGCCUUACAGUGAUCAUGGUAUUUUAAGAGCUAUGGCUUGCAGCAUUUAGGUUACAUUUAAGUGGCACAUCUUUGUGGUUUGAGAGAAAAGCCAGAGAUUGAGGGAAGUCCUCAAAUAAAUAUAUGAAGAUUUCACAUAGUCACUUUGAUCUUUAAGGCAUCAGUGGUAAGAUGAAACUGUAACUAACAAGAUGAAUAAACAAACUUACUCCAAUGAAACAUGUACUUAACUGCUUUCUCCUAUUUUCAGUGUUCAGCACCAAAGUAAGGGUCAUCCCAGAUACUGUUUUAGUUUUCCAGUGACAGUAGCAUUCUGCUCUCUGCAGCAAAGAUGUUAAUUCUUAGUAAGAAUUGUUUAUAUUUUUUAUAUGUGGGACACUAAUUACCAUUUGUUUUGAUCUGAUCUUAACUUUUCACUGUAAAUAUUCUUCUUUCUUUCUAAUUCUGCCAUUGUCAUUUUUUUCUAUUGCUCUUAAUCUGUUGCAGCUCUCUACUAGCAUAUUAUCUCUAAUGCAGAUAUAGGAAAUAAAAUAAACAUUUAA